AUUGAACGCUGGCGGCAUGCUUUACACAUGCAAGUCGAACGGCAGCACGGGUGCUUGCACUGGUGGCGAGUGGCGGACGGGUGAGUAAUGCAUCGGAACGUGUCCUGAAGUGGGGGAUAACGCAUCGAAAGAUGUGCUAAUACCGCAUAUUCUCUGAGGAGGAAAGUAGGGGAUCGAAAGACCUUAUGCUUUUGGAGCGGCCGAUGUCUGAUUAGCUAGUUGGUAGGGUAAUGGCUUACCAAGGCGACGAUCAGUAGUUGGUCUGAGAGGACGACCAGCCACACUGGGACUGAGACACGGCCCAGACUCCUACGGGAGGCAGCAGUGGGAAUUUUGGACAAUGGGCGCAAGCCUGAUCCAGCAAUGCCGCGUGAGUGAAGAAGGCCUUCGGGUUGUAAAGCUCUUUCAGUUGAGAAGAAAAAGUCGCGACUAAUAAUCAUGAUUCAUGACGGUAUCAACAGAAGAAGCACCGGCUAACUACGUG
rnacentral:rRNA from 1 species